UACGUAGGUGGCAAGCGUUGUCCGGAAUUAUUGGGCGUAAAGCGCGCGCAGGCGGUCUCCUAAGUCUGAUGUGAAAGCCCCCCGGCUCAACCGGGGAGGGUCAUUGGAAACUGGGAGACUUGAGUGCAGAAGAGAAGAGUGGAAUUCCACGUGUAGCGGUGAAAUGCGUAGAGAGUGUGGAGGAACACCAGUGGCGAAGGG
rnacentral:rRNA from 1 species